rnacentral:rRNA from 1 species
UACGUAGGGUGCGAGCGUUAAUCGGAAUUACUGGGCGUAAAGCGUGCGCAGGCGGCCUGAUAAGUCAGAUGUGAAAUCCCCGAGCUCAACUUGGGAACUGCGUUUGAAACUAUCAAGCUAGAAUAUGUCAGAGGGGGGUAGGAAUUCCACGUGUAGCAGUGAAAUGCGUAGAGAUGUGGAGGAAUACCAAUGGCGAAGGCAGCCCCCUGGGAUAAUAUUGACGCUCAUGCNCGAAAGCGUGGGGAGCAAACAGGAUUAGACUA